GGGGGAAAGAGGGGUGCUAUUGGUGUUGUAUCUGGGAGUAAGUUUCCAAGAACGAGAGAGCCUGCACGCUUGCUUGCUAGCUACUCGGCUCGCCCCCCAGCUCACCCCCCCGAGUGGAGAUUGGUCGUCUUGUCGGAUUGCCCAGGCACUUGUUGCCGAAACAGCCAAGGCUCCAGCUCCAGAGGGCAGUGAAGGAGGAAGGCACGGGAGCAAGACUGUCCUGAAGGGGUCACCAGCGGUCUCAGUCCUGGAACAGACCCGGGUCUCUUCUUCCCACCUGCCGAGCAGCAUGUGAGCAGCAUGACUGGCCAGCUGCAGGAGAAGCCCCCAGAGCCAGGACCGCGACACAGCCACCCGCUGCCAAGGUCAAGGUGUGAAGGACUUUCCCCCAGCACGGUGGUGUCUGGUCCAUACCUCUGCCCGCGUGAGGAUGUAGGCACCCCGGCUCUGCUGAUGACCGGUUCAAGCCAACAGGGACCCCUGUCUCCAGCCACCCUCACAGACAUGUCAGCUGUGGAGUAGGGUGGACGCUUUCUCUCAUCUUCUCAGGG